CCACACAAUUCCAUAUUUUCACAAACCCUAACAUACUUCAUCGCCGCUUUCGCUCUUCUCCAUCUCUGUGUUUUCUCUUAUCCAUUGAAGCCGCUUAUUCGAUUCUUUGAGGUUUUUUUUGUUUGUUGAACCCGGGCUAAUCAUCCUUACUCCCAGUUACAAGUCUUCAAGGAUGUGGGUUUUGGUAGUGUUAGGAGCCAUAUUACAUAAUCUUGCAAGAGUUCAGGACCGACAAGGGAUCUACCUAUCAAUUAUGAUCAACAUGCUCUUCCUGUAGAAGUUUUAAAAAUAGUUUACACAUUAAAAGAUGAGGGACCAUGAGUUGUAAGUAUGGAUAUUGUGGAUGUUAAUUGUCCAAGAUGGAAGCUCAGGUAUUGUGGGUUUUAUUUCUGUACAUGGAUCUAAAUUGCAGGUAUAACCUGAUUCAUAAUGCAAUCGGAUCAUAUACAUAUGAUUUGGGAAGAUGGUGAAUUAAUCAGGAAAGAUAUGUAUUUAAAAGUUUUCGAUUUAUUGAGUAUUUCUUAUGCUUGAUGAAUGGUGCAAUUAACUUGGUGAAAAUGAUGAAUUAAUCAGGAAAAAUAUUUAUUUAAAAGUAUGUUGUUUUCAAGUUUGUGCUCUUAUAAUUUUGUUGAUGUCAAAGUGAAGAGGUCGUACAAUAUUGUUUUUUAUCUAAAUAAAGUCAAAAGUAUUGUUUUUCAAGUUGCUUCUCGCUGAUGAAUCACUAUGAAAAUUGUGAUUCCUAUUUUUUUUAUCUUUGGCUAAUGAAACCACAAUUUCAGGGGCUAGGGUAAACGACACAUUCUGUGACCCAAAUAGUGGAGAUAAUUGAGUGGAACAAGGACAGCCGUACCUACCGACAACGGUGGUGAUCCGAAUGGUUUUGGUGUAAUAGAGUUGGGGCAAUGGUUGGAAUCGAUAACAAGCCAAACGAACUGCUCAGUUUCUAUGACAGGUUCAAACGGAUUCGCAAACCGAACACAUGGGAAGAACAUGAACCGCACUAAAGACGACCGUAGAUGUGGAUGUGUAGUGUUUUGUGUCCAUAACUUAUGAUGGUUUGGAUGGCGUUGAUUGUUGGUGAUUGCGGUGGCAGAGAUAAGUGAUGAAAAGUUCGAGACUCGGAGCGUUAUCAUUGGGCUGCUACACAAGGGGUUAAUGAAGAAGUGCUAAUGGAGAAUUUGCCUGAAGACUUGCAAAGAGAUAUCUGCUGCCACCUCUUCAAAUUUGUCAAGAAAGUCCGGAUUUUGGCGUCAAUGGAUUGAACCGAUUUUAGAUGCGAUAUGUGAAAGAUUAAGGCAAAAGACAUAUAUAAAAGAAGGAACAACCUUAUAUGAAGGAGGGUUUGUGACAAAAAUGGUUUUUAUUGUAAGAGGGAAAAUGGAAAGCACAAGAGAAGAUGGGAAUGUGGUUACGUUAUCUGAAGGUGAUGUAUGUGGUGAAGAACUCCUCACAUGGUGCCUUGAACCUUCCUCUCUUAAUGGAGAUGCAAGGACACGGGGGAAGCCAGGAUGCAAAUUGGUGUGCAAGAGGACAGUGAAAUGCUUAUCAAAUGUGGAGGCAUGCGUGCUUUGCGCUGCAGAUCUUGAAGAAAUCACCACCCUUUUUGCUGGAUUUUUGAGGAAUCACCGCGUUCAAAUGGCAAUAAGGCAUGAAUCUCCAUUUGGUUAAGUUGGUUGUCCAUGAACCUUAGUCCGAUGACUCAUGUUGAUCUCAUAUAUUUUGGAGAGAAUGGGAUAGCCAACCACUGCACCCGGCAGCGACGCGAUUGAGCUACAACGGAUCUAUGGCAGCGGUUGAGGAGGGAAGGCAAAAUUCUAUCCUUUUCUAGGAACUGAAGUGUAGCACCCUCUACUAAUCAAGAAAGAGAUGAACUUCAGGAAUGUAUAAUGAUUCUGGAAGGCGUUCAAUUUAGGAGCGGGGAAGACAGUUGGAGCUGGUCGGGAGCUCGGAUGGCGCCUUUUCGGUUAAAUCCAUUCGAGCUCUCCUUGCUUGGCAGGGGCUACAAGUGGAUGUGAAUCCCUUUAUGUGGAACUAACUCUUACCCAAAAAGGUAAUAUUUUUGGGUGACGUCUUAAUCAGAAUCGCUUACAAACUCGAAUGACACUAAUUAGCAGGGGAAUUAAUGUUAAUUCUUCUAUAUGCCCUCUUUGCAACGACGAAUUUCAGAUUUGCUGAAGUAUCAUGAGGUGGCAGUGGAAUCAGAAACAGAGAAAAUAAUGUUGUAGUCGGUCAUCUUAACGGCAUGCUGAGUGCUAUGGAAAUUAAGAAAUGAGGUCAUGUUUAGAUCAGAGAAGAGAAGAUGGAGAUCGGCAACCUGCUAGAUGAAAUAAAAGACUUUGGCUUUCUUUAGGUUAAAAAACUGGCAUCAUUGGAGUGGACUCAAUGGAAUAAAUUUGUGUUUCUUUAAUUAAAUUGUAAUGGUAUAUUUGGUUGGUGGGUCAUGCUCAAGAUGUAAUUGUGUUUGGUGGUUAAUAAAGUUGACUAAAAAAAUAAAAAAUAAUAAUCAAUCGUUGUAAAUGGAAUAUGCUUUACUUUGGAGUUCACAUCAGACAUUCAUUAUGUUCUGUAGUGUUCGUCGCUGAUGGAAUUGCCUUUGUUUUGUAGUGUUCGCCGUUGAUGGAGCUUUUAGGUUCAACCCUUUGUUCUCACCCGUUAAUUCAGAGAGAGAGAGAGAUGUAGCGAUGGAGUGCGUUGCUUGGUUUGGCGGUUUGGCACGUUUCUUGCGCUCUGUUUUUAUGCUUUGGACAUAAUGCUGGAUUUCUGUGUCAGCCGUCUUACAGGCAGUUUAUGCUUAGAGACACGAUUAGUCAAAUACUUAAUUGACGGACUGCUUCACAGAAUAACAAAAACUUCUCUUCUCUUUAUUGGUGUUCGUUUGUUGUCCUUGGAAUGCGCUUUCCAUAUUGAAGAUUGGUAGUUGUUUUGUGUUUCAUGUUUAUUAAUAAUUAUCUGAUUUAUUUAGGGUCUUCGGGUCAUAAGUCAUAUAUAUAGAUGUUGUAUCAAAACUAAAUUAAUAGAAGCAUCAAAUUAUAUAGUUA